CAGGAGACUUAUUUCAAGGAAUUGGCUUAUGCGGCUCUGGAGGUCGGCUAGACAAGGCCAACAUCUGUAGCUCCGGCAAUCAGGUGACAUUGGUGGGCCCCUGUUGUAUGCAGGUCUGGAGCCACCUCCCUGCCCCGCUGCCUUUGGCUCCUGAUCCCUCCCUAGGUGACAAGCCCAGGCAGAGAGGCCCUGAACUUGGACGUCACACUCUGAAGAACUCCUGGACAAGACAGGGAGAACAUCUGUGUGCUGGACAGGGUUGAGCUGGAAGACUGUGUGUGAUUCCAUAUCCCUGUUUCAAGAAAGGAAUUGUUUGGACAUUAGCCAGCCCUGGUCCAGAAGCUCCAGGCCUGAAUUGGUGUCCAAUGGACCUGAGGGGUCAGAAUCAGGCCCAGGAAGAUGGAUUUCCCCGUCCCCUCGGCCCCCACCCAGCAGGGGAGGGAGAAGGCUGCUUCAUUAUGUUUAAUGGGAUUAUUGGGGAGGGGGGACAGUAGUCAUGGGGCAUUAGCUGCUAAUUGGGUCCAUAAUAAAGUUA